UCUGAAUUUGUGUCCAGCCUGGUCUAUAUAUUUCUAGGUCAAGAUGACACAGUGAGACCCUGUCUCAAAAAACAAGCAAACAAACAAACAAACUAACUAACUAAAUGCAAUACAGUGUUUUAUAGGAAAAUUAGAAAAUAUGGAAAUUAAGAGAAAAAAAAAAAAAAGAAAAGAAAAGGGUUCUCAAAGCCGGGCCACCCAGAGCUAAGGACUGCCAUUUGCAGGUGUUUGAUUUCUGUUUCAGUUCCCUGCUAGCUACUGUAACAGACAUUAUGCUGUUCCUGGCUUAAAAUAGCACAAUUUGAUCUUCUUCCCUCUGCAGGGCAGAAGCCAGAUCCGCUGAGCAGAUGAGAGCAAGGCCUUGACAGGGCUGGUUCCUUGAGGAGUUUCUGGGAAAGAUCUGUGUCUGGAGCAUGCUCCAAGCCCUUUCUGUGCACCCCAGGUUCUGGGGUGGGACAUGAGGAUCUAAGGGCUGGGGGGCUUUUGUUCAGCCUUUCAGAAUCAAUCUUCCUUCCUUCCUUCCUCCCUCUCUUCCUCUCUCCCUCCCUCCCUCCUUCCUUUAUUAUUUUUUAAUCCCAAGACAGGAUCACUCUAUCUAGCCCUGACUGUUUUGGAACCCACUCUGUAGACCAGGCUGACCUCGAACUCAGAGAUUUUGCCUCUGCUGCCCAAACACUGGGAUUAAAGUCACAUUUCUUGGAGGUUCUCUGAAGAGUUUCUGGUCUGGGUGAAUGAGAUAGCUCAGUAGGUAAAGGUGACUGCUGCCAAGCCUGAUGAUCAGAGUUCAACCCCUGGGACCCACGUGUGGAGGUUUGGUGCCUGGUCAUGAGACCUGAAGUGACUCCAGACGCAGCAGCUCACGGACAACCUUCAUGACCGGCUCUCUCUCCUCUGGGAGACCGGACACCAGAUGCCCUGGUGCUGAUGGACGCACUCUGUAAACAGACCCCAAGCAGAAAACAACCUAGGGCUGAAGCAGGGGCCAUGGUGCUGUCUUUGAAGACUGAGGUGCACCACCCUCGGGGACCUGCCCUGCCACUGAAGGUGACAAACCCAGAUGAUAUCCUGUGGGCCUGUUCCUUCCCUGUUAUGGUUUUACACACAUUUGCGUAAUUAUGUGAUACAGGACUCUUCCAGUAACAGUGUGCUAAGGGCUGGGUCUCUUCCGGAACUGUGUGAAUAACAGUAUUCCCAGCACAUGGAAUGAACACUUCCUACAUACUGGUUCAGUGACCUUUUUGUUUUGUUUUGUUUUCUAAAAUUACUCUG